GACGAACGCUGGCGGCGUGCCUAAUACAUGCAAGUAGAGCGCUGAAGGAGGAGCUUGCUUCUCUGGAUGAGUUGCGAACGGGUGAGUAACGCGUAGGUAACCUGCCUGGUAGCGGGGGAUAACUAUUGGAAACGAUAGCUAAUACCGCAUAAUAGCAGUUGUUGCAUGAUAACUGUUUGAAAGGUGCAAUUGCACCACUACCAGAUGGACCUGCGUUGUAUUAGCUAGUUGGUGGGGUAACGGCUCACCAAGGCGACGAUACAUAGCCGACCUGAGAGGGUGAUCGGCCACACUGGGACUGAGACACGGCCCAGACUCCUACGGGAGGCAGCAGUAGGGAAUCUUCGGCAAUGGACGGAAGUCUGACCGAGCAACGCCACGUGAGUGAAGAAGGUUUUCGGAUCGUAAAGCUCUGUUGUAAGAGAAGAACGAGUGUGAGAGUGGAAAGUUCACACUGUGACGGUAUCUUACCAGAAAGGGACGGCUAACUACGUG
rnacentral:rRNA from 1 species